CCUACGGGAGGCAGCAGUGGGGAAUAUUGCACAAUGGGGGAAACCCUGAUGCAGCGACGCCGCGUGAGUGAAGAAGUAUUUCGGUACGUAAAGCUCUAUCAGCAGGGAAGAAAAUGACGGUACCUGACUAAGAAGCCCCGGCUAACUACGUGCCAGCAGCCGCGGUAAUACGUAGGGGGCAAGCGUUAUCCGGAUUUACUGGGGGUAAAGGGAGCGUAGAAGGCAGCGGAAGUCUGGAGUGAAAUCCCAUGGCUUAACCAUGGAACUGCUUUGGAAACUGUGCAGCUAGAGUGCAGGAGAGGUAAGCGGAAUUCCUAGUGUAGCGGUGAAAUGCGUAGAUAUUAGGAGGAACACCAGUGGCGAAGGCGGCUUACUGGACUGUAACUGACGUUGAGGCUCGAAAGCGUGGGGAGCAAACAGGAUUAGAUACCCGAGUAGUC
rnacentral:rRNA from 1 species